rnacentral:rRNA from 1 species
GUGCCAGCCGCCGCGGUAAUACGGAGGAUGCGAGCGUUAUCCGGAUUCAUUGGGUUUAAAGGGUGCGUAGGCGGAACGAUAAGUCAGUGGUGAAAUUCUGCAGCUUAACUGUAGACGUGCCAUUGAUACUGUCAGUCUUGAGUAUGGUCAAGGUAGGCGGAAUGUGUAAUGUAGCGGUGAAAUGCUUAGAUAUUACACAGAACACCGAUUGCGAAGGCAGCUUGCUGGGCCAUUACUGACGCUGAUGCACGAAAGCGUGGGGAUCGAACAGGAUUAGAAACCCUUGUAGUCC